rnacentral:lncRNA from 10 species
UUAGUUGUGGUGUGAUCUAGGCCUGCUUGUAUCUCUGCUUGCUCAGGGUCAGAGAGAAGGCUGGAUUCUGGGAUGCUGCAGGAUUUUGGAAGCAAAGACAGAGAGGGCACCUGGAGAAUGGUUGCCAGAGUGAAAUUCCCCAGACAAUAGAGAUAAUUUGGAACUGUUUAAAGAACAAGGAUACAAAAUCAAAAAGGUGUUUUAAUCCUGAGGAAGAGUGUGAGUCUGGGAAAAUUUUGGAUCACCGAGGUGCAGCCAUACCUUCCACAGCCAUCACUGUUGCUUACAACUCACAUGCCAAGAAUUGCAAGAUGAAGAUGGUGAUCAGGAGGCAUGACUUGGAAGAAGAGCCCAAGGACCGUAGCAAGGCCCUGAUUCUGGGAGACGAGAGAACACGCUGACUUAGAAUGCUUGUCUCUGCAUCCUGGUCAGAAAGUAGAUGGACGACACUUUCAUCUCCGACUGGAUUUUGGUGAGAGAUGGGCAAACCCCGGGCUCUAGGCUGGAGCAGCAGCUCUUGUAUCCACACAAAAUCAGGACUGGUGGAGGGAGCCAUCUUCAAACAUAAAUUUGCGUCUUUUGGCAAUGCACUCCUUGGGUUUGGAAGCUUCCCUCCAAGAUGCUGAGCCCAAUGUUUGGGGAAAGCCAGGGAAACAGAUGCUGGGUCAGUGCUGCUCCCACCUCCUCUGCUCCCCUCCUGAGGGCUCCACUGAGUCACCAGCCAGCAAACAGCCCAUGCGCCCUGGAGCAGAUGGACUGUGGGUACACGAGCCUCUGAACUCUUGGGCAGCAUGGGCACAACAUCCUUUUGGCCUCACCCAAUGACCUGGCUGACACAGCAUUUGUCUCCUCCAGAGGAUACAGCACCAAGGCGCCAUCUUGGAAGUAGACUGGAGCUCUUAGCAGACCAGAACCUGUGGGCCUCCUAAGACGAUGUUGCUGGAUGUCCCCUGCUGACCCCACAGACUGGCUCCUCUGGUGUCCGCUGACUUGGCCUGGUGAGAAGGGCAGGGCCAGGCCCUUCCCUGUCUCGACCUGCAUUCCCACCCAACACAGCAAGCUAUUUUGAAAAAACUUCUCUAUCAGUUCUUGUGAGUUAUUUGUCUAAUAAACAACAUUGUGAAAAUGAAGCAUUCAUGUAUUUGUAUAUUGACAAGAGAUAACCAAUUCCCUCAACAAUUUUACAAUUUCAAAUUAGGAUAACAUCCUUUUUUGGAGCUCUUCAAACAUCUUAGGGAACACACGCACAUAUUU